AUUGAACGCUGGCGGCAUGCCUUACACAUGCAAGUCGAACGGCAGCACGGGGCAACCUGGUGGCGAGUGGCGAACGGGUGAGUAAUGCAUCGGAACGUGCCAUUGAGUGGGGGAUAACGUAGCGAAAGUUGCGCUAAUACCGCAUAUUCUGUGAGCAGGAAAGAGGGGGAUCGCAAGACCUCUUGCUUUAGGAGCGGCCGAUGUCGGAUUAGCUAGUUGGUGAGGUAAAGGCUCACCAAGGCGACGAUCCGUAGCGGGUCUGAGAGGAUGAUCCGCCACACUGGGACUGAGACACGGCCCAGACUCCUACGGGAGGCAGCAGUGGGGAAUUUUGGACAAUGGGCGCAAGCCUGAUCCAGCCAUGCCGCGUGAGUGAAGAAGGCCUGGUGUAAG
rnacentral:rRNA from 1 species